UGGGGAAUUUUGGACAAUGGGGGAAACCCUGAUCCAGCCAUCCCGCGUGUGCGAUGAAGGCCUUCGGGUUGUAAAGCACUUUUGGCAGGAAAGAAACGUCGCGGGUUAAUACCCCGCGAAACUGACGGUACCUGCAGAAUAAGCACCGGCUAACUACGUGCCAGCAGCCGCGGUAAUACGUAGGGUGCAAGCGUUAAUCGGAAUUACUGGGCGUAAAGCGUGCGCAGGCGGUUCGGAAAGAAAGAUGUGAAAUCCCAGAGCUUAACUUUGGAACUGCAUUUUUAACUACCGGGCUAGAGUGUGUCAGAGGGAGGUGGAAUUCCGCGUGUAGCAGUGAAAUGCGUAGAUAUGCGGAGGAAUACCGAUGGCGAAGGCAGCCUCCUGGGAUAACACUGACGCUCAUGCACGAAAGCGUGGGGAGCAAACAGGAUUAGAUACCCUGGUAGUCCACGCCCUAAACGAUGCAACUAGCUGUUGGGGCCUUCGGGCCUUGGUAGCGCAGCUAACGCGUGAAGUUGACCGCCU
rnacentral:rRNA from 1 species